rnacentral:rRNA from 1 species
AGAUUGAACGCUGGCGGCAUGCUUUACACAUGCAAGUCGAACGGCAGCACGGGGGCAACCCUGGUGGCGAGUGGCGAACGGGUGAGUAAUGCAUCGGAACGUAUCUUUAAGUGGGGGAUAACGCAUCGAAAGAUGCGCUAAUACCGCAUAAUCUCUGAGGAGAAAAGCAGGGGAUCGCAAGACCUUGCGCUUUUGGAGCGGCCGAUGUCUGAUUAGCUAGUUGGUGGGGUAAAGGCUUACCAAGGCUUCGAUCAGUAGCUGGUCUGAGAGGACGACCAGCCACACUGGGACUGAGACACGGCCCAGACUCCUACGGGAGGCAGCAGUGGGAAUUUUGGACAAGUGGGGGAAACCCUGAUCCAGCCAUGCCGCGUGAGUGAAGAACGCGUGGUUGUAAGCUCUUCACGCCGGAACGAACGGUUACGUAACGUAAC